UACCUACGGGAGGCAGCAGUAGGGAAUCUUCCACAAUGGACGAAAGUCUGAUGGAGCAACGCCGCGUGAGUGAAGAAGGGAUUCGGCUCGUAAAGCCCUGUUGGUAGGGAAGAAAGGUAGAGGUAGGAACUGGCCUUUAUUUGACGGUAAUUAAUUAGAAAGGCACGGCUAACUACGUGCCAGCAGCCGCGGUAAUACGUAGGGGGCAAGCGUUGUCCGGAUUUAUUGGGCGUAAAGCGAGUGCAGGCGGGU
rnacentral:rRNA from 1 species